AUUGAACGCUGGCGGCAUGCCUUACACAUGCAAGUCGAACGGCAGCACGGAGCUUGCUCUGGUGGCGAGUGGCGAACGGGUGAGUAAUAUAUCGGAACGUACCCAAGAGUGGGGGAUAACGUAGCGAAAGUUACGCUAAUACCGCAUACGAUCUAAGGAUGAAAGUGGGGGAUCGCAAGACCUAAUGCUCCUGGAGCGGCCGAUAUCUGAUUAGCUAGUUGGUGAGGUAAAGGCUCACCAAGGCAUCGAUCAGUAGCUGGUCUGAGAGGACGAACAGCCACACUGGAACUGAGACACGGGCCAGACUCCGACGGGGUGCAGCAGUGGGGAAUUUUGGACAAUGGGGGCAACCCUGAUCCAGCAAUGCCGCGUGAGUGAAGAAGGCCUUCGGGUUGUAAAGCUCUUUUGUCAGGGAAGAAACGGUGAAGGCUAAUAUCCUUUGCUAAUGACGGUACCUGAAGAAUAAGCACCGGCUAACUACGUGCCAGCCGCCGCCGUAA
rnacentral:rRNA from 1 species